AAAACGACUCUCGGCAACGGAUAUCUCGGCUCUCGCAUCGAUGAAGAACGUAGCAAACUGCGAUACUUGGUGUGAAUUGCAGAAUCCCGUGAACCAUCGAGUCUUUGAACGCAAGUUGCGCCCGAAGCCAUUAGGCCGAGGGCACGCCUGCCUGGGCGUCACGC
rnacentral:rRNA from 1 species